GUUAUAUUCCUGGUCAAAUUCAUCAAAACAGAUUGUCAAAUUAACGCCUUAUUGUUAUCAAAUGCAUUAUUUAACUAGUAUUGACAAAGUUUUCCAACUUAGAAACGUCCUCCGUAACAUUUCUGACCAUUCUAAAAAAUGCAUUUUCUUAUUUGACUGGGUUAGUCAAAUAAGAUUUAUAUUUUGGCGGGAAGCCCUUCGAUUAUUUCCGUAAAUGUUCGGAUCUGAGUCACGUGAUAUGAUUUACCAAACCAAAAUAAUGGCGGACAAUACGAAAGGUGUGUCACGUAUACGAGAAAUAAAUUUUGAGAUUGGAAAAGGAAAAAGCGAAAAGUGGGAAGAAACUGUGAUUUAAUUCAAUCAAGGAUAUACUCCGGUAGUGAUUCAAAGCGAUGAAAAGUUCUAAAAAGGGUAAUUAAAACCAAAAGCGACCGUGAAGUUGUUAUCUGAUUGACAGAAAUAAGUCAAUUUCAUCAUCAUCAUGUGUUGCAAUACCACUACCAGGGACAUCAAAGAUGACCUGGACUUCAGUGCAUAUGCAGAGGAGAGUAGCACUAAAGAAAGCCAAUAAAAUCCUUUUGAUGUUGAAUUGAGACACAACCAUUCAUUUCUGGUUUAGUUAUAAAACUGCUACAGACUAUAAACUAUUCAUGAUGAUGGAAUACACCAAUGCCUAGUACAAUCAUGGCCCAUUAGAAACCAGAACAAACCAUGGCUGCAAAGGAAAUAAGAUGCACAUAGUCUGAAAGAUCUGGCUCGUGUUCUGAAUAAGAUGACAUAAUAUCUCAACUGCAGAAGUACAGCUGGCAUGGAGGGGUUUCACCAGCACAUCUUGAUGUAUUGUACCAAAAGAUUUGCUUACACACCACCUGUUUAUAGGAUGCACAAUCUUCUUGCAGCUAUAGAUUAUAAUAUACAUGCAAAUAGACCACACAUCACCAACAAGGGGGAUCUGUUAGACUUCAACGAGUCUGGAUGAAUUAAAGAAGAAGAAAAAGUAUCAUUAUACCAUUUUCAUGAUGCUAUAACUCUGAGAAUUAGUGACAUGGAGGGGAUAUAUAAAAUAGAAAGUUAGAGGAAGAUGACCCCCACAGACUUUCAAAAUAUUUGGCCCAAGUUAGCCCGAAGCCUACCUGAGCCAUUCAUGAGGAACAUAAAUCAAGAUAUGAUUGACUUUUUAUGGAAAAGAAUGAUAAAUAGUGUAUUACACUGAUUGCCCAACUAUUCAAACAUAUUUAAGCUGACAUUGAACACCUGGUAUUCAUGAUAGUUUUAUGAAAUAUCUUUUUAGAUAUGGCACUGUAUCUAUCUUGUUUUGAAAAAAAUUCUCUUGAUUUAUUUGUCAUGACUCAAGGUCUGUUUUUAAUAUUUUGUCAGAAAAAUGACUACUUUUUAUACAAGUGCAAAAUAUUAUCCAAUCUAUUAAACUAUAAGUGCUGCUAUGAGCUUUAAUGUAGUAACAAAGUUAAAAGUAUUAUUCAAUUAUAUCUUUUGAUAUACAUGUACUAUGUCAUUCACUUUAGCUCAGCUUUUUUUUUUUUUUUUUU